GUCUACGGCCACACCACCCUGAAUGCACCCGAUCUCAUUUGCUCUUGCAAGCUAAGCAGGGUUGGGUCUGGUGAGUACUUGGAUGGGAGACUUUAUUUACAAAAUAAAUAUUAAAGAUC
rnacentral:rRNA from 1 species